UACGUAGGGUGCGAGCGUUGUCCGGAAUUAUUGGGCGUAAAGAGCUUGUAGGCGGUUUGUCGCGUCUGCUGUGAAAUCUCAAGGCUCAACCUUGAGCUUGCAGUGGGUACGGGCAGACUAGAGUGUGGUAGGGGAGACUGAAAUUCCUGGUGUAGCGGUGAAAUGCGUAGAUAUCGGGAGGAACACCGAUGGCGAAGGCAGCCGCCUGGCCUGACACUGACGCUGAGGUGCGAAAGCGUGGGGAGCGAACGGG
rnacentral:rRNA from 1 species